rnacentral:rRNA from 1 species
UACGGAGGGUGCAAGCGUUAAUCGGAAUUACUGGGCGUAAAGCGCGCGUAGGCGGCUGGGUAAGUCGAUUGUGAAAGCCCCGGGCUCAACCUGGGAAUUGCAGUCGAGACUGCUCGGCUAGAGUGUGGGAGAGGGUGGUGGAAUUCCCGGUGUAGCGGUGAAAUGCGUAGAGAUCGGCAGGAACACCCAGGGGGAAACCAGCCGACUGGGCAAGUGCUGACGCUGAGGUGCGAGAGCGUGGGGAGCGAACCGG